rnacentral:rRNA from 1 species
GACGAACGCUGGCGGCGUGCUUAACACAUGCAAGUCGAACGGAAAGGCCCUGCUUGCAGGGUACUCGAGUGGCGAACGGGUGAGUAACACGUGGGUGAUCUGCCCUGCACUUCGGGAUAAGCCUGGGAAACUGGGUCUAAUACCGGAUAGGAGCCAUUUUUAGUGUGAUGGUUGGAAAGUUUUUUUCGGUGUAGGAUGAGCUCGCGGCCUAUCAGCUUGUUGGUGGGGUAAUGGCCUACCAAGGCGGCGACGGGUAGCCGGCCUGAGAGGGUGGACGGCCACAUUGGGACUGAGAUACGGCCCAGACUCCUACGGGAGGCAGCAGUGGGGAAUAUUGCACAAUGGGCGCAAGCCUGAUGCAGCGACGCCGCGUGGGGGAUGACGGCCUUCGGGUUGUAAACGCCUUUCGCUAGGGACGAAGCUUUUUGUGACGGUACCUAGAUAAGAAGCACCGGCUAACUACGUG